rnacentral:tRNA from 1 species
UGCCCGAUGGUGUAAUUGGCAACACGCUUGACUCUGGAUCAAGAGACUCUAGGUUCGACCCCUAGUCGGGCAG